CGUCAAAACCACUGUAGGGAGUCAGGAAUUGCAAUUCAAUCAGAAAUCUGAGGGGACCGGACAUGUAAAUGAGGGGGCCUAGGCCCACCCAGGCCCCCUCGUGGCUACGCCACUGCUCCUCACGUAGCCACAUGUCAGCUCUACCAGAUAGGGAAGUGUACAGGAUAGAUAAAGCCUGAAGAUGGCAGUAAUGCAGCUCAAUGGAUGCCAGCUGCCAUAAAAAUCCAAAGAAGAAAAAGAAGAAUUCUGUGAUUCAAGUGUUGUGACUGUCCUUCAUUUGUUGGUUUACUUGCUUGCUCUUGUGUUGUACAACAUUAAGACUGUUCUUAUUGUUCUCCAAGCUAAAGCUUAUUGUAGCCUACUACCACGUCUUUUUGUGUUUAUUGUUGUGACUUUAUUCUUGAAUACCAAACGGUCUGGAAGCUGUAGGGAGGUGGGUGCCUAUUUUAAUUUUUGUAAUACCUUUUCUCCUGUUUUUGGCUAGUUAGGGAUUAGUGUAACUUUCUGUUGUUUAUUUGUUUCCUUUUGACAGAUUAAUACUAGUCAGAGGGUAUUUGUGUUCAUUAUUUUGGCUUUACCCCCUCCUGAGGUUUGCUUGGUUCAUUUCUUUUUGUUUCAUUUUGUCAAUUGUACAUACUCUGUUAAUAAAUUUGAGUUGAAUUGGA